rnacentral:rRNA from 1 species
CACGGGGGGAGCAAGCGUUGUUCGGAAUCACUGGGCGUAAAGGGCGCGUAGGCGGCGCGAUAAGGCGGCGGUGAAAGUCCGGGGCUCAACCCCGGAUCGGCCGUGGCGACUGUCGCGCUGGAGCACAGUAGAGGCGGGUGGAAUUCCGGGUGUAGCGGUGGAAUGCGUAGAGAUCCGGAAGAACACCGGUGGCGAAGGCGGCCCGCUGGGCUGUGGCUGACGCUGAGGCGCGACAGCGUGGGGAGCAAACAGG